CAGUUGCCAGCAUGGUCCUCCGGGAUGAUGGGGACGACUGUUGGGACCGCCUCUGCUAAAGAGGAGGAAGGAAUGGGCAACGGUAGGUCAGCAUGCCCCGAAUUAUCCGGGCUACACGCGGGCUACAAUGGUCAGGACAAUGGGUAUCGACACCGAGAGGUGGAGGCAAUCUCCUAAACCUGUCCUUAGUUCGGAUUGUGGGCUGCAACUCGCCCACAUGAAGCUGGAAUCCGUAGUAAUCGCGUUUCAAAAUAGCGCGGUGAAUAUGUCCCUGCUCCUU
rnacentral:rRNA from 1 species